GUCUUCCCUUCUUCCGGGCAAGCGACUUGAUGAUUGAGCUUUCGUUUUCAUCGUCUUCUUCCUCUUGAGUCCUGACCUCUUCCUCUACCACGGCGCCGCUCUACCUCGCCGGCUCCCUACCUGCAGUGACGAGCCUUGCCAUCGUCGCCCGCAUCGCAGCACCUCCUGGUCGACCUCCCCCACUACUUCGGCCCCCUGUACGUGCUCGGCGCCUCCCUGUGUUGUGCCCCCGUUCUGCGUCGGAUCGGAUUGGUUUGGUUUGGUUUGGUUUGGAGUCGACUCCCAAGCAAUCCACCUCCCUAACCCCAGAAGGCCUAUCCAUCUUCGUUCAUCCCUCAACAGAUCAGCUUUCACGGCACCUUGUGCGGUGGAUGUGGUGGUCGCUUUCUCAUCCCCAUCGUAACUCCGUCGGAGCUCCGGCCAUCCAACCUGCAAUCACCUCUGCUCCUGGUUUAUCAUAGCAUCUCAUGCCCACACUCUGCAAAAUUGGCAUCUGCUCUACUAAGGUCAUCGCUGUGCACAGGGAAUCAAUGCCAAGAAACUCCAGGAGAGCAAGCACCAGCAGGUCCUCGCCCUGUCUCCAUCCACGCUACCAAACUUGGACUUUCUAUAAUAUUGUGUCUACAUCCACGCUACCAUCCAUGGACUUUUUGUAACAACACUCAAAACUGCUCAUGAUUAUCUGUGUGUAAAAUAUAUAUGUAUUUUCACACUAGCUACAUACAGUUUAUGGUUCGCCGUCCUAAAUUACCUAGAAUAAUUAAUGUUAUAUGUGAUAUAUAGUAUCAUAUCUAUUCAAUAUUUUUGCAUCCA